rnacentral:rRNA from 1 species
AUUGAACGCUGGCGGCAGGCCUAACACAUGCAAGUCGAACGAGUGGCGGACGGGUGAGUAAUGUCUGGGAAACUGCCUGAUGGAGGGGGGUAACUACUGGAAACGGUAGCUAUUACCGCAUACCAUCAGAUGUGCCCAGGUGGGAUUAGCUAGUUGGUGGGGUAACGGCUCACCAAGGCGACGAUCCCUAGCUGGGCUGAGAGGAUGACCGGCCACACGGGAACUGAGACACGGACCAGACGCCUACGGGAGGAAGCAGGGGGGAAUAGUGCAAAAUGGGCGCAAGCCUGAUGCAGCCAUGCCGCGUGGAUGAGGAAGGCCUUCGGGUUGUAAAGUACUUUCAGCGGGGAGGCGUUACCCGCAGAAGAAGCACCGGCUAACUCCGUGCCAGCAGCCGCGGUAAUUC